rnacentral:rRNA from 1 species
GCCUGCCCAGUGACCCUGUUCAACGGCCGCGGUAUCCUAACCGUGCGAAGGUAGCGUAAUCACUUGUUCUUUAAUUGAGGACUAGUAUGAAUGGCACCACGAAGGUUACACUGUCUCCUUUUUCUAAUCAGUGAAACUAAUCUUCCCGUGAAGAAGCGGGGAUAAAACUAUAAGACGAGAAGACCCUAUGGAGCUUUAAACAAUGUAGCAGUCACUUUUUAAUGUCUGGGUUUCCGAACUUUAAAACUCUUCAAGUGAUGUGACUAUAAGUUUUUGGUUGGGGUGACCACGGAGUAUAACACAACCUCCAUGUUGAAAUUUUUAAGCUAAGAACAACUUUUCUAAGCAUCAAUAUACUGACAUUCAUUGACCCAAUAUAUUUGAUCAACGAACCAAGUUACCCUAGGGAUAACAGCGCAAUCCACUUUAAGAGCUCCUAUCGACAAGUGGGUUUACGACCUCGAUGUUGGAUCAGGGUAUCCCAGUGGUGCAGCCGCUACUAAAGGUUCGUUUGUUCAACGAUUAAAACCCUAC